GAUGAACGCUGGCGGCGUGCCUAAUACAUGCAAGUAGAACGCUGAAGGAGGAGCUUGCUCUUCUGGAUGAGUUGCGAACGGGUGAGUAACGCGUAGGUAACCUGCCUGGUAGCGGGGGAUAACUAUUGGAAACGAUAGCUAAUACCGCAUGACAACAGUUAUUGCAUGAUAACUGUUUAAAAGGGGCAACUGCUCCACUACCAGAUGGACCUGCGUUGUAUUAGCUAGUUGGUGAGGUAACGGCUCACCAAGGCGACGAUACAUAGCCGACCUGAGAGGGUGAUCGGCCACACUGGGACUGAGACACGGCCCAGACUCCUACGGGAGGCAGCAGUAGGGAAUCUUCGGCAAUGGACGGAAGUCUGACCGAGCAACGCCGCGUGAGUGAAGAAGGUGUUCGGAUCGUAAAGCUCUGUUGUAAGAGAAGAACGAGUGUGAGAGUGGAAAGUUCACACUGUGACGGUAUCUUACCAGAAAGGGACGGCUAACUACGUG
rnacentral:rRNA from 1 species